rnacentral:lncRNA from 1 species
AUUCCCAAGCAAACAUGUAUGAAAACAGUUGUAUUUAGGAUGCUAGAAAAUAUUUCAACUCCGACAUCCAGUCAACAUUUAAUUCAAUGGCAAGUGAAAAAUAAAAAUUUUCAUAUAUUAAUGUCAUGCAUAGUGAAAUAAAAAUCUACAAGUGAGCAUUUUCCUUAGGUAGGUUUACUAUAGCUCUUAGGCUUACUCUCUCAGACAUCAUCACCUACUCGUGGGAACUGCCCACACCACAAGAUGAAUCGGGGCUUCAGGUCCCCUUUUUUACCUACUCGUGGGAACUGCCCACGCCACCAGAUAAAUCGAGGCUUCAAGUCUCCCUUUACCUACCGUAGGAGCUACCCACGUCACCAAAUAUAAAUCGAGGCUUCAGGUCUCCCUUUUUACAAACAAAUAUCGAUAUUCGAAACUUUUUACUUUGUGCACAAAGACCACACUUGACCUAGUGUGGUAACAGGUCCUACCCAGAGUAUCUCGAUCACGUUAAAAUAAAUUUAUUGCAAUUUAAUACAUUAGCAAAACAUCAUAGUUUGUAAACAAUAUAAUUAUAAAUCAAUGUUGUACAUAUUCUAUCUCAAAACAUGAUACAUUUACCAAAUCAGCAUGCUAAUUGAAAUAAAUAAUUUAUCAUCAACUUCUAUGAAUCAAACAAAGGCCAUUGGCCUAAAUAUCUCACAAACUUGCAAGGUAUGAUUUUGAAGUGAAAGCCAGUC